rfam:Saprolegnia parasitica CBS 223.65 unplaced genomic scaffold supercont2.183, whole genome shotgun sequence.
GCCGCAAUAGCUCAGUUGGGAGAGCGUCAGACUGAAGAUCUGAAGGUCACUGGUUCGAUCCCGGUUUGUGGCA